UUUGGGGAGCCCAGACUUGCCAAUGGGUAAGUGAGUCUAGUCAAGAUGUAGGAUUUCAGAAAACUCACUCAGAAGAGCAGGAUGAAGAUAAAGGAGGCAUCAUUCAGCAGCAAUAACCAACUCAUUUCCUUCUCUAGAAAGCAAUGAAACAAGAAUCUGGUCAUGGGAUUUUACCAGUGCAAAGGAUUAAUCCACCCAAUUGAUGGCCAAGAAACCAACCAGUGAGAGCAGGAAGCAAGAACACCUCGAGACAGGAGGCAUGGCUGGGAGGCCUCAGGAAACGUAUAAUCAUGGCAGAAGGCAAAGGGGAAGCUGGUAAGUCUAACCAUGGUGGAGCAGGAGAGAGAGAGAGAGAGCAAAGGGGAAGUGCUACACAUUUUUAAACAACCAGAUCUCAUGAGAACUCUGUCACAAGACAUCACUAGGAGGAUGGUGCUAAACUCUUAGACAUAACCCCCAUGAUACAAUCACUUCCCACCGGGCUCCACCUCCAACACUGGGGGAUGACAGUUCAACAUGAGAUUGGGGUGCAGAAACAGAGCCAAACCAUAUCAGAUAUAUAAGCCAUGUAGCAUAGAAUCCUUUAAUAUCUACAUUAUUGAUUCUGCUGCCUUUUGGAGUGAAAUAAACUGUAACAAAUUUCUCUUUGAUGUAGUAACCUUUUGAAUCUCUCAGGAUGACUAUUUGUCAUUCUCUUCUAUUUUUGGAACAUCACUGGACAAAGGAAAGUGAAGGCAAAAUAAGGGUAGAAUAAAAUGGUUGUGCCAGCACAUUACUGGAAAAUGGC
rnacentral:lncRNA from 10 species